AAAAGACCUUCUUCGGAGGGUAUGCUUAAAGAGGGGCUUGCGCCACAUUAGUUAGUUGGUGAGGUAAAGGCUUACCAAGAUUAUGAUGUGUAGCUGGACUGAGAGGUUGAACAGCCACAUUGGGACUGAGACACGGCCCAAACUCCUACGGGAGGCAGCAGUAGGGAAUUUUCGGCAAUGGAGGAAACUCUGACCGAGCGACGCCGCGUGAACGAUGAAGUAUUUCGGUAUGUAAAGUUCUUUUAUUGAAGAAGAAAAAAUAGUGGAAAAACUAUCUUGACGUUAUUCAAUGAAUAAGCCCCGGCUAACUAUGUGCCAGCAGCCGCGGUAAGACAUAGGGGGCGAGCGUUAUCCGGAAUUAUUGGGCGUAAAGGGUGCGUAGGCGGUUAGAUAAGUCUAUAAUUUAAUUUCAGUGCUUAACGCUGUCUUGUUAUAGAAACUGUCUUGACUAGAGUGAGAUAGAGGCAAGCGGAAUUCCAUGUGUAGCGGUAAAAUGUGUAAAUAUAUGGAGGAACACCAGAAGCGUAGGCGGCUUGCUGGGUCUUUACUGACGCUGAGGCACGAAAGCGUGGGGAGCAAACAGGAUUAGAUACCCUGGUAGUCCACGCUGUAAACGAUGAGUACUAAGUGUCGGGGAAAACUCGGUACUGAAGUUAACACAUUAAGUACUCCGCCUGAGUAGUACGUACGCAAGUAUGAAACUUAAAGGAAUUGACGGGACUCCGCACAAGCGGUGGAUCAUGUUGUUUAAUUCGAAGAUACACGAAAAACCUUACCAGGUCUUGACAUACUCUGCAAAGCUAUAGAAAUAUAGUGGAGGUUAUCAGGGAUACAGGUGGUGCAUGGUUGUCGUCAGUUCGUGUCGUGAGAUGUUAGGUUAAGUCCUAAAACGAACGCAACCCCUGUCGCUAGUUGCCAGCACGUAAUGGUGGGGACUUUAGCGAGACUGCCAAUUAAAAAUUGGAGGAAGGUGGGGAUAACGUCAAAUCAUCAUGCCCCUUAUGAUCUGGGCUACAAACGUGAUACAAUGGCUAUUACAAAGAGUAGCUGAAACGCGAGUUUUUAGCCAAUCUCAAAAAGGUAGUCUCAGUACGGAUUGAAGUCUGCAACUCGACUUCAUGAAGCUGGAAUCGCUAGUAAUCGCGAAUCAGCAUGUC
rnacentral:rRNA from 1 species